GCAAGUCGAAUGGGUUUAGACCCAUGGCAGACGAGGUAGGAACACGUGGGUACAUACCCUAGAGUCAGGGAUAAUCCGUCGAAAGGCGGGAUAAUACUUGAUAGUCCCUUCGGGGUAAAGAUUUAUCGCUCUAGGAACGGCCCGCGGUCUAUCAGCUUGAUGGUAAGGUAACGGCUUACCAUGGCUACGACGGAUAGGGGAGGUGAGAGCCUGACC
rnacentral:rRNA from 1 species